rnacentral:rRNA from 1 species
AGGACGAACGCUGGCGGCGUGCUUAACACAUGCAAGUCGAGCGGAAAGGCCCUUCGGGGUACUCGAGCGGCGAACGGGUGAGUAACACGUGAGUAACCUGCCCCGGACUUUGGGAUAACCCUCGGAAACGGGGGCUAAUACCGGAUACGACACAGAGCUGCAUGGUUUCUGUGUGGAAAGUUUUUCGGUCUGGGAUGGGCUCGCGGCCUAUCAGCUUGUUGGUGGGGUGAUGGCCUACCAAGGCGACGACGGGUA